rnacentral:rRNA from 1 species
CGGCAACAGCUCAAAUUUGAAAUCUGGCCUCUUUCGGGGUCCGAGUUGUAAUUUGUAGAGGAUGUUUUGGGUACCGCGCUGGUUUAAAUUUCUUGGAACAGAAUGUCAGAGAGGGUGAGAGCCCCGUCU